rnacentral:rRNA from 1 species
UAAUAUAAAAAUUUAUUGAGAUUAUUUAUAAAUUUAAAAUUAAAAUUUUUUUUUAAUAUUUUAUUGGGGGUGAUAAAAAAAUAAAUUUAACUUUUUUUUAUAGUUUUACAUAAAUAAGUGAAUAAUUGAUCCAAUUAUAUUGAUUAAAAGAAAAA